rnacentral:rRNA from 2 species
CUGUUCCCAUGCCGAACACAGAAGUUAAGCUCCUUAGCGCCGAUGGUAGUCGGACUUACGUUCCGCAAGAGUAGGACGUUGCCAGGC